AGUGAACGCUGGCGGUAGGCCUAACACAUGCAAGUCGAACGGCAGCACAGUAAGAGCUUGCUCUUACGGGUGGCGAGUGGCGGACGGGUGAGGAAUACAUCGGAAUCUACUUUUUCGUGGGGGAUAACGUAGGGAAACUUACGCUAAUACCGCAUACGACCUACGGGUGAAAGCAGGGGAUCUUCGGACCUUGCGCGAUUGAAUGAGCCGAUGUCGGAUUAGCUAGUUGGCGGGGUAAAGGCCCACCAAGGCGACGAUCCGUAGCUGGUCUGAGAGGAUGAGAAGCCGCAGUGGAAGUGAGAGACGGUCAAGACUCAUACGGGAGGCAGCAGUGGGGAAUAGUGGAGAAUGGGAGCGAGCCUGAUCCAACCAAAACGCGUAGGUGAAAGAGGCAUUCGGGUUGUAAAGGCAUUUUGUUGGGAAAGAAAAGCAGCAGGUGAAAAACCCGCUGAUGUGACGGUACCAAAAGAAUAAGCACCGGCUAACUUCGUG
rnacentral:rRNA from 1 species